AGAGUUUGAUCAUGGCUCAGAACGAACGCUGGCGGCGCGUUUUAAGCAUGCAAGUCAGAGGGGUUUAAUGUAGCAAUAUGUUAAGCAACUGGCGCACGGGUGAGUAACACGUGAGAAUCUACCUUUAGAUGGGGGAUAGCUCGUGGAAACACGGGGUAAUACCGCAUGUGCCGAGAGGUGAAAGAUACUUUUGUAUCGUCUGAAGAUGAGCUUGCGGUCCAUUAGCUAGUUGGCAGGGUAAGAGCCUACCAAGGCAACGAUGGAUAGCCGGCCUGAGAGGGUGAACGGCCACAUUGGAACUGAGACACGGUCCAGACUUCUACGGGAGGCAGCAGCUAAGAAUAUUCCGCAAUGGGAGAUAUCCUGACGGAGCGACGCCGCGUGAAUGAAGAAGGCAGAAAUGUUGUAAAAUUCUUUUAUAUGGGAAGAAUAAGGUUACUGAGAGAAACGGUAUCCGAUGACGGUACCAUAUGAAUAAGCCACGGCUAACUACGUGCCAGCAGCCGCGGUAAUACGUAGGUGGCAAGCGUUGUUCGGAUUUAUUGGGCGUAAAGGGCAUGUAGGUGGUUAGAUAAGUGUGAAUUGAAAGACCGAAGCUUAACUUCGAGUUUGGUUUGCAAACUAUCUGACUAGAGUGCAGAAGGGGAAACUGGAAUUCCGCGUGUAGGGGAAAUCUGUAGAUAUGCGGAAGAAUACUUGUGGCGAAGGCGAGUUUCUGGUCUGUAACUGACGCUGAAAUGCGAAAGUGUGGGGAGCAAACAGGAUUAGAUACCCUAGUAGUCC
rnacentral:rRNA from 1 species